ensembl:lncRNA
GUCAUAUCCAUCAAUCCCAGUGGAGCAGCUCUGUGUUUGUGUCGUUGUCUACCGAGAGCAGAUGGGGGAGGGGAACCUGGGGGUAGGACCAUUUAAGGUUGGCAUGCUUGCCUGUGAUUAUGGAAAUACUUACCAGUAGGAGGAAUACAGCUAAGAUCUUCCUAAAAUCUGGACCUUUGCUGAAAUUAUUUUUAGAAAUGGCAAUUAAGAAUCAUUAAAAAGACAUGAAAAGCAAUGCAAACAUUACCUCUGUGCUGCAGUGCUUGAAGGAAUGAAUAGGAAAAAACAGGACAACUUCAAUAUCUGUGGAGAAGCACCCCAAAUGGAAAUGUGGCAGCAUGAGCAAUUAUUACAUUUACUGCUGGGACUGGAACUUUGAUUCUGACUCAAAAUGCUUUUUGAAGGAAUUUUUUGGCACCUAGAGUUAACCAAGUUUGUUAUAAGCCAGAAAGUGAAUCACCUUGGAAAGUCUGAAAUUUCCAUAGCUGCCAUUAAGCAAGGGCAAACAAAGUGUAUUUCCACAUUAUAAGAAAUUUUUACAUGAUAUUUAGCUCCUAGCUACUCACUCAAAAUCAGUCAAUUCUUGUAGUUUGCACUGAGUUGAAUCUCCUUGACUUUUCUGAUGCUUUGUUAUUUGAAAGAAAAGGUGAGGGCUGGGUUGCAGUGUUAGACUAUUUAUAUUCAUAAUAGGACAUGAAGUCCCUGAUCAAAACUGCACAUCACUAGGCAUGGCCUUUCCCUCCAAAAUCUACAAGACAGACUUGAAAUGUUAUCACUGCUUCACAGAAUCAGAUAAUCAGGUAAUUAUAGGGGUUGCAAGGGACCUCUGGAGAUCAUGGAGUCUAUCCCCCUUGCUAAAGCAGGUUCCCUACAGCAGGUUGCACAUGUAGGUGUCCAGGAGGAUCUUGAAUAUCUCCAGAGAAGGAGACUCUACAACCUCUCUGAGCAACCUGUUCCAGUGCUCUGUCACAGUAAAGAAGGUGUAAAGAAAGUAAAUAAGUUUUUCCUCAUGUUCACAUGGAACUUCCUGUGUUCCAGUUUGUGCCUGCUGUCCCUUGUACUAUCUCUGGGGACACAAAAAGAGCCUGAACCUGUUCAUUUGACUCCAACCUUUCAGAUAUUUAUAAGCAUUGAUAAGAUCCCCUCUCAGUCUUCUCAUCUUCAGGCUGAGCAGUCCCAGAUCUCUCAGCCUUUCCUCAUAAGGGAGAUGCUCUAGGCCCCUAAUCAUUGACCUCACCAGGAUAAAGUAGAGGAGUAGGAUAACCUCCCUUGGCCAGCUCUUUUCAAUGCACCCUGGGAUACGAUUACCCUUCUUGACCAUAAAGGCACACUACUGACUCAUGACUAACCUAUUGUCCACCAGGACACCAAGGUCCUUCUUUGCCGAGCUCUUUUCCAGCCAGUCCUCCCCUAACCUGUACUGCUGCAUGUGAUUAUCCCUCCCCAGAUGUAGGACCCUGCACUUGCUGUUGUUGAGCCUCACGAGGGUUCCUCCCCACCCAACUCUCCAGCUUGUCCAGGUCUCACUGAAUGGCAGCACAGCCUUCUGGUAUGUCAGCCACUCCUCCCAGCUUCAUAUCAUUAGCAAAUUAUCCUCUCAUCCAGGUCAUUGAUAAAGACAUAGAACAAGGCUGGACCCAGCACCAGGCCCUGGGGAGCAUUGUUAGUUACAGGCCUCCAACCAGACUCUGUGACAGUGAUCACAAACCCUUGAGUUCUGCCAGUCAGCCAGUUCUCAACUGUCCACUCAUCUGUUGUGCAGUUCCUAAGCUUACCUAUGAGAAUGUUAUGGGAGACAUUGUCAGACACCCAUGGAUGCAGUCUUGUCCUCUUGCAAUUGGAGAAUAGCCUGUCUACUUCAGCCUGCAGUGCUGAUAUAUCUGAAAUGAACUUGUUUACAUCGAUGGUCCAGAAAAGCUACCAGACAAGUACUUCUAAAAGACUUUAUAUACUGUCAUUUCUGUCUUCAACUGCUGAGUGUUAGAAUGGAAGAACUAUUUGCUAUUAGUUUCAACAAAAGUCAUUACUGGGAACAAGACGUUCCAUGAUCAGCAGAACUAAUGAAAUGAUGUUUCUUGUGGAUAUGUCUCAAGCUUCAAGUCACUCCUUCUUGCUCCUUUUGAAGACUGGAGUUAUACUGGUUUUCCACCUCCCCAGUAGGGGUUAUCCAAGAUCUGCUUAAGGAUAACUGGAGCCUGUCUUAUUCUGGCUGGUACAAGUAAUUAAGUUCCCAUAUAACCUAGGCUGUAAAUUUUCAUGAAACUUGUAAAUUUUCAUGAAACUUGUACAUGAAACUUGAUUGAAACAGGUUCAUAAGUUGUCAGAAGGACAUAAAGAUGAAUGGAUGAACACAUAGCUGGGAUUGUGUAAAUCCUUAUUUUCUCUGGUAACCAAGAUAGAGGUAAUCUCCACAUACAGAUUUUAAUGUAGAAAAAGGCUAUUUAUGGAAAUCUUCAUACUCUUUUCUAUCUUAUAAAGAGAUGCAACCUGACUUCUCUCUUCUAUAUGAUUGAUGACCUAUAGGGAAAUGUAUGUUUAAAGGUAUUCUGUCAAAGAUUUUCAACAAUUGCCCGUUUUCCUCUUACAAGUUUCCUGCAUUAUUUUUGUCCUUUUUGAUGAGCAGAAACUGACUGUGAGAUUUCUCUCUUUUUGC